rnacentral:misc_RNA from 1 species
GAUGAAGAACGUAGCGAAAUGCGAUAAGUAGUGUGAAUUGCAGAAUUCAGUGAAUCAUCGAAUCUUUGAACGCACAUUGCGCCCCUUGGUAUUCCAUUGGGCAUGCCUGUUCGAGCGUCAUUUACACCCUCAAGCCUAGCUUGGUGUUGGGCGUUGUCCGCAAGGACUCGCCUCAAAUUCAUUGGCAGCGGCAUCGUCAGCUUCUCGCGCAGCACAUUGCGCUUCAGAAGGCUUCUGGCGGGCUCGCGUCCACUAAGAUACCACCCAGUUUGACCUCGAAUCAGGUAGGGAUACCCGCUGAACUUAAGCAUAUCAAUAAGCGGAGGA